rnacentral:lncRNA from 1 species
AGGAAACACUCAGAGUAAACCUGGGAAAAGACAUGGUCUCGCGACCAGAGAGAAUGGGAUCGGGAGUCGGUUAUGCGAAGGGAAGGUAUUAGCACCCCUACGCAUCCGUCGUACUCGACGGGAUCCACGCACAAUAGGAAGGAAAAAUGGUUGCUAAAAACACUGCUCACACACACACAACUGGCUGAAAGAGACACAAGAAAACAAAAGAGACUGACUCGGCAGAAUAUCGCAUCCUGGGCCUACUUAGUCUAUCAGGCAUAGACAUCAGAGUCAAAGUAGUUCGGACUGGGGAAACGACACAUGCUCGCUAGGAUAUCG